GCCGGGCGACGGUUGUCCCGGUUUAAGCGUGUAGGCUGGUUUUCCAGGCAAAUCCGGAAAAUCAAGGCUGAGGCGUGAUGACGAGGCACUACGGUGCUGAAGCAACAAAUGCCCUGCUUCCAGGAAAAGCCUCUAAGCAUCAGGUAACAUCAAAUCGUACCCCAAACCGACACAGGUGGUCAGGUAGAGAAUACCAAGGCGCUUGAGAGAACUCGGGUGAAGGAACUAGGCAAAAUGGUGCCGUAACUUCGGGAGAAGGCACGCUGAUAUGUAGGUGAAGCGGCUCGCGGAUGGAGCUGAAAUCAGUCGAAGAUACCAGCUGGCUGCAACUGUUUAUUAAAAACACAGCACUGUGCAAACACGAAAGUGGACGUAUACGGUGUGACGCCUGCCCGGUGCCGGAAGGUUAAUUGAUGGGGUUAGCGGUAACGCGAAGCUCUUGAUCGAAGCCCCGGUAAACGGCGGCCGUAACUAUAACGGUCCUAAGGUAGCGAAAUUCCUUGUCGGGUAAGUUCCGACCUGCACGAAUGGCGUAAUGAUGGCCAGGCUGUCUCCACCCGAGACUCAGUGAAAUUGAACUCGCUGUGAAGAUGCAGUGUACCCGCGGCAAGACGGAAAGACCCCGUGAACCUUUACUAUAGCUUGACACUGAACAUUGAGCCUUGAUGUGUAGGAUAGGUGGGAGGCUUUGAAGUGUGGACGCCAGUCUGCAUGGAGCCGGCCUUGAAAUACCACCCUUUAAUGUUUGAUGUUCUAACGUUGGCCCCUAAUCGGGGUUGCGGACAGUGUCUGGUGGGUAGUUUGACUGGGGCGGUCUCCUCCUAAAGAGUAACGGAGGAGCACGAAGGUUGGCUAAUCCUGGUCGGACAUCAGGAGGUUAGUGCAAUGGCAUAAGCCAGCUUGACUGCGAGCGUGACGGCGCGAGCAGGUGCGAAAGCAGGUCAUAGUGAUCCGGUGGUUCUGAAUGGAAGGGCCAUCGCUCAACGGAUAAAAGGUACUCCGGGGAUAACAGGCUGAUACCGCCCAAGAGUUCAUAUCGACGGCGGUGUUUGGCACCUCGAUGUCGGCUCAUCACAUCCUGGGGCUGAAGUAGGUCCCAAGGGUAUGGCUGUUCGCCAUUUAAAGUGGUACGCGAGCUGGGUUUAGAACGUCGUGAGACAGUUCGGUCCCUAUCUGCCGUGGGCGCUGGAGAACUGAGGGGGGCUGCUCCUAGUACGAGAGGACCGGAGUGGACGCAUCACUGGUGUUCGGGUUGUCAUGCCAAUGGCACUGCCCGGUAGCUAAAUGCGGAAGAGAUAAGUGCUGAAAGCAUCUAAGCACGAAACUUGCCCCGAGAUGAGUUCUCCCUGACUCCUUGAGAGUCCUGAAGGAACGUUGAAGACGACGACGUUGAUAGGCCGGGUGUGUAAGCGCAGCGAUGCGUUGAGCUAACCGGUACUAAUGAACCGUGAGGCUUAACCUU
rnacentral:rRNA from 1 species